AUCACUUCUAUGCCUUCUGGCUAAGAUCAAGUAUAGUAUCUGUUCUUAUUAGUUUAAUACUCCCUGAAUAUAACAGUAAAAUUAAAAAAGUUUCCCAUUACAUCUC
ensembl:snRNA U2 U2 spliceosomal RNA